UGGGGGAUUUUGCACAAUGGGCGCAAGCCUGAUGCAGCGACGCCGCGUGAGGGAUGAAGGCCUUCGGGUUGUAAACCUCUUUCGCUGGGUUGAAAGGCCAUGCUUUGGGUGUGGUUGAUUUGAACUGGUAAAGAAGUACCGGCUAAAUACGUGCCAGCAGCCGCGGUAAUACGUAUGGAGCGAGCGUUGUCCGGAAUUAUUGGGCGUAAAGGGUGCGCAGGCGGCUUUACAAGUUGGAUGUGAAAUAUUGUGGCUCAACCACAAACGUGCAUCCAAAACUGCAAAGCUUGAGUUAAGGAGAGGUAAGUGGAAUUCCUGGUGUAGCGGUGGAAUGCGUAGAUAUCAGGAGGAAUACCGGUGGCGAAGGCGACUUACUGGACUUAAACUGACGCUCAGGCACGAAAGCGUGGGGAGCAAACAGG
rnacentral:rRNA from 1 species